GUGUUUGGCAGCACAUACACUAAAAUUCAAACAACACAGAGACACAGAGAUGAGCAUGGCCCCUGUGUAUGGAUGACACACAUACUGGUGAAGUAGUCCACAUUUAU
rnacentral:snRNA from 1 species